rnacentral:rRNA from 1 species
UACGGGGGGGGCAAGCGUUGUUCGGAAUUACUGGGCGUAAAGGGCUCGUAGGUGGCCAACUAAGUCGGACGUGAAAUCCCUCGGCUUAACCGGGGAACUGCAUCCGAUACUGGAUGGCUUGAGUUCGGGAGAGGGAUGCGGAAUUCCAGGUGUAGCGGUGAAAUGCGUAGAUAUCUGGAGGAACACCGGUGGCGAAGGCGGCAUCCUGGACCGACACUGACGCUGAGGCACGAAGGUCAGGGGAGCAAACGGG